UACCCGUAGCCAUGCAUGGCUUGGAGGACAGCGGGGCGCGGCCCACAGCCACCUCUUGCGGGUGCGUAAAGCCGGCUCUGGAGACAGGGAAUCUUUUAACGGAUCCAAUUGGCUACUUGGAAUCCUGUUUCUCAGCCAAGAAUGGUACCCCACGGCAGCCGUCCAUUUGUAGCCAUUCACGGGCUUGUUUGAGGAUUAGAAAGAGCAUCUUUAAUAAUCCUGAGCAUUCCUUGAUGGGCCUAGAACAGUUUUCUCAUGUUUGGAUUUUGUUUGUUUUUCACAAAAAUGGUCGUUUGAGCUGUAAGGCGAAAGUGCAGCCUCCUAGGCUGAAUGGUGCAAAGACUGGGGUUUUUUCCACAAGGAGCCCUCAUCGCCCCAAUGCAAUAGGACUGACUCUGGCCAAGUUGGAAAAGGUUGAAGGGGGCGCCGUGCACCUCUCUGGGAUCGACAUGGUGCACGGCACGCCGGUGCUGGACAUCAAGCCCUACAUAGCGGAUUACGACUCCCCGCGGGAGCCGCGGGAGCCCCCUGCGGACGCGCACGCGCAGCCACCCCCUGCGUCCCCGCCUGACGGCCGGCCUGGGAACCGGGCCCGACGACAGCCCCGCGGCGGCCCCGCGGAGAGACCCAGGUGUCCUGAAGGCAGAGCUCCGGAGGGACGGUGCCCGGAGCCCGAUGGGCGCGGGGAGAGGGCCGCCGACUUUGGUUUGGACUCCGCACGCGAUGACAGCCCGAGGGUGGCAGAAGGGCCGCGUGGACGAGACCGCCGGGAGGAGAGCGUUUCAGAGGAAGGGCCCGAUGCACGGAUGGGGGGCGGGGAGGAGGCGGCGACCCUGCGGGGGAGCGCAGCGGAGAGGCAGCCGGUGGCCACGGGCGCCCCUCGCAGCGAGGUGCCCGCCUGGGUGAGGGCGCCCGCGGCCCCCUUGGCCGUCCGGUUCACGCCCCACGCCGAGGCGGACCUCGGGCGCCUCGGUGCGGAGGGUGCUCCAGCGAUUCUGGUACAGAGACUUCCAGGAGUGGCACAGAAAUUGCCCCCACGGACCCAGGACUGGAGACCCUGGACUAGAGACCUGCAGUUUACAGCAAGAGGGAGGCCUCGGGGCUCCUCCUUGGAGCCUGUUUAACACGUUGUGCUUUUUUUUUUUAAUACAGUUUUAUUGAGGUAUAGUCACAUAACCUACAGUCAUCCGCAGUGCAGUUAUUCACAGAAUCAUCACAUAGCUUUGCAUUCAUCAUCAGAAUCAACCCGUAAGACAUUUUCCCUAUUCCAAAAGAAAUAAAAGUAAAAAUGAAUACUGAAGACGUUCCAUCACCCCAUCCCACCCUACUUUUCAUUUAUUUUUUGUCCCCAUUUUUCUACUUAUCUGUCCAUACACUGGAUAAGGGAGUGUGAGCCACCAGGUUUUCACAAUCACACAGUCACACCAUAACACAUGGUUCUUAAUAAAUAUUACCUGCUUUUCCCAGCUGACAGCAGAUCCCAGGAAGCAAGCUAGGCUAAAGGAAGGCUGUUAUCAGUGGGCACAGUGAUGCCUGUCUGAAGCAGCCAGUUGCUAAGGAGGAGAUGGCAAGUUUCAAGAAGAUAGAAAGCUGUUGUUGGUGUCACAGCUGACUAAGGACCCAUUAUGAUCACAUCAAGAGGAAAAUUCGUUUUCAUUUUGCGAUUGUGCACUGAGCUUCUGAUGUCGGUCACACUUCAUUUAAGUAUUUUCGGUCAGCAGAUGAAGCAAAGCAUGCCAUCGAGGCUGUGCUGUCAGCCGAUCCUCGGUCCGUGUAUCGCCGGAAGCUCUGCCAGG